AGUGUCAUUAAGGCACUUAAUUCAAAAUUCAAUUGAAGAGUUUGAUCAUGGCUCAGAUUGAACGCUGGCGGUAACUUUUAAACAUGCAAGUCGAGCGGUAACAGACAUAAGGAUUCAGCUUGCUGAAUCUGGUGCUGACGAGCGGCGAACGGGUGAGUAACGCGUAGGAAUCUACCCAGUAGCGGGGGAUAGCCCGGGGAAACCCGGAUUAAUACCGCAUACGCCCUAAGGGGGAAAGGGGGCAGCUUGCUGCUCUCACUAUUGGAUGAGCCUGCGUAAGAUUAGCUUGUUGGUGGGGUAAAGGCCUACCAAGGCAACGAUCUUUAGCUGGUCUGAGAGGACGAUCAGCCACAUUGGGACUGAGACACGGCCCAGACAUCUACGGAUGGCAG
rnacentral:rRNA from 1 species